rnacentral:rRNA from 1 species
AAUAGAUACCCCGGUAGUCCACGCCGUAAACGAUGUCGACUUGGAGGUUGUUCCCUUGAGGAGUGGCUUCCGGAGCUAACGCGUUAAGUCGACCGCCUGGGGAGUACGGCCGCAAGGUUAAAACUCAAAUGAAUUGACGGGGGCCCGCACAAGCGGUGGAGCAUGUGGUUUAAUUCGAUGCAACGCGAAGAACCUUACCUACUCUUGACAUCCAGAGAACUUAGCAGAGAUGCUUUGGUGCCUUCGGGAACUCUGAGACAGGUGCUGCAUGGCUGUCGUCAGCUCGUGUUGUGAAAUGUUGGGUUAAGUCCCGCAACGAGCGCAACCCUUAUCCUUUGUUGCCAGCGGUCCGGCCGGGAACUCAAAGGAGACUGCCAGUGAUAAACUGGAGGAAGGUGGGGAUGACGUCAAGUCAUCAUGGCCCUUACGAGUAGGGCUACACACGUGCUACAAUGGCGCAUACAAAGAGAAGCGACCUCGCGAGAGCAAGCGGACCUCAUAAAGUGCGUCGUAGUCCGGAUUGGAGUCUGCAACG